CCUACGGGAGGCAGCAGUGGGGAAUAUUGCACAAUGGGGGAAACCCUGAUGCAGCGACGCCGCGUGAGUGAAGAAGUAAUUCGGUAUGUAAAGCACUAUCAGCAGGGAAGAAAAGGACGGUACUUGAGUAAGAAGCCCCGGCUAACUACGGGCCAGCAGCCGCGGUAAUACGGAGGGGGCAAGCGUUAACCGGAUUUACUGGGGGAAAAGGGAGCGUAGACGGCAGUGCAAGUCUGGAGUGAAAGGCGGGGGCUCAACCCCCGGACUGCUCUGGAAACUGUACGGCUGGAGUGCAGGAGAGGUAAGUGGAAUUCCUGGUGUAGCGGUGAAAUGCGUAGAUAUCUGGAAGAACACCAGUGGCGAAGGCGGCCCUCUGGUCUGCGACUGACGCUGAGGCUCGAAAGCAUGGGUAGCGAACAGGAUUAGAUACCCUAGUAGUC
rnacentral:rRNA from 1 species